AAAAAGAGAAAAAAAAAAGAAAAGCUCUCCCCUUGCGCGACUAUUCAUCUUCCCCGCAGGGGAGGGCCUUCGCCGGCCUUGUCGCCGUCGAACCCCGCCGUCGCCGUCGCCGUUCUCCGUCCACGAACGCUCGAGCCGCUGGUCUCUACUCGCGAGCCCCGACGACCUGCGCCGCCCCAACGCCGAGCCCCCGGAGCCUCGACGACACGUCACCGCUUACUUUGGCCCGCGACCCGCCGCCUCUGCCUCGUCUCUGCCCGCGCCUGCAACAGGAACCCCCCCGGACGCUGCGCCAAUCCCUGUCGUUGCGACCCUCCUCUGUAGAUCUGUCUCCGCCGUCAGAUCCCAAGCCACCGGUGACCCAGAGUCACAGCCGAGUCGAGAUCCAACACCCAGAGUCCCUCCGCUUGCAAAUCCGAGGUCCCCGACGACAGAAGCCCCGGACCCAGCUUGACGCUUCCCUUUCGCUAGUGCCGAGCCUCAUCGGAGACCCAGAUCUGACGCCGCCCUCACUCCGCUCCGCGACGCUCGCCCCCGAUCUGGUUCUCUCACUGGACGCCGCGCCCAACAGCCUGAUCCAGACGCCGGAGCUCCUCAUCGCAGCCACCAGAGGCCUCCCGCCGUCCCUGCAGCGCCUCGCCGGCUGAAGCUCGUGAUCCGAGCGCCCCGACGCAGCCCCCACGACGCAGGCCCGUGCCGACCCACGACAAUCUCCUCGCCGGAGCUCCUCACCGUGCACCUGCUAUGCCCUCGCCGAAGCUCUGACGCCAGCCAUCCUCCGCCCCACGCCGUCCACCAUUGUUUUUUUUUUUUAAUUUCCUUUUUAGGUGAUUUACUUUUUAUCCUUUUAUUUUUAUUUAUUUAUCUAGUUAUUUUAAGUGCUGUCAUUUUUGCUUAAGUUAGAACAAGGGAUGUCAAUUUUAAUUAUUUGUAUAGUUUAGGCAUUAUCCUUAAGGUUUUGCCCAAAACUAUAUAAUUAUUAAUUUGGUCCGUAAGACGUCGGAUCAUUUUUUUUAAUUAUAUUAAUUUUUGGGCAUGUUGUUGAUAGUAUUUUAAGUGUUGAAUCAAUAUAAUUAUUAAUUUGAUUCGUAAGAAUUCGGAUCAGAUUUUUAAUUAUUUUGAACUCUUUGUUGUGAUAAUUAGGGUUAGGAUAAUCGUUAAUUUGAC
rnacentral:lncRNA from 1 species